AUGGCUCUGUGACUCAACUGUUAGUCAUCUCUUCAAAUGGUACCUUGUGUCUCCCACUAGAGGCCAGAGGACAAGGGUAACUUCUCAGCAGGCAUUCUGCUCCUUGUUGGAGCAACAAUCCUUGAAGGACCAGUUUUGAAGUAGACUGCCACAUCUUUCUCCCACCAAGUGGCUGGUGAGUUGGAACCACCGACCUUUGGGCUAACAGCUAAUUUCUCAACCACCGCACCACCAGGGAUCUUUCCGUGAAGAUUACAGCCUGGGAAACCUUGCCUCAAGAAUGGAGAGACACAUUGUCUUAUCGCCUGUGUUUUAUCUGAUUUUGAUUGGUAAUUCCAGCUGUGUUUCUUAUUCUGCUGAAGACAUACUGAAACCAGGCAAAGGAUCUCAAGGUCAGUAUUUCUCAAAGUGCCGUUCAUGGAGAAAGUAUCCAACCCCUGCAGGAUAAACUGCAGCUCCUAAACCAACUGGAUCAGAGUUUGAGCGAGGGGCCCAGGAGUCUGCAUUUCAACAUGGAAGGCUUUUGUACAUUUAAAUUUGGACACCAUUGCCACAGGUUGUGACAGGAGAUUUACAUGCUAAAUUAAAUAAACUAAGGUACAGCCCUCCUAAGGCCUAGUUGAUGUCCUUAAAAAAAUACAACAUGGUUAAGCGGAAGUGACACACCAGCUUCACUGGGCUCCGGGACAUCCCUCCCCAUCCUCUCUACUUCUUUAAUAGCUUUUCCAUUCUUCCCU